GGGCUCCCAUGCAGCUGUGUGAGGUUAUGGGAUCCCAUGCAGCUGUGUGAGGUUAUGGGCUCCCUUGUAGCUGUGUGAGGUUAUGGGCUCCCUUGCAGCUGUGUGAGGUUAUGGGCUCCCUUGCAGCUGUGUGAGGUUAUGGGAUCCCUUGUAGCUGUGUGAGGUUAUGGGAUCCCAUGCAGCUGUGUGAGGUUAUGGGCUCCCUUGCAGGUGUGUGAGGUUAUAGGCUCCCUUGCAGCUGUGUGAGGUUAUGGGAUCCCUUGCAGCUGUGUGAGGUUAUGGGCUCCCUUGCAGGUGUGUGAGGUUGUGGGCUCCCUUGCAGCUGUGUGAGGUUAUGGGA